UACGUAGGGUGCAAGCGUUGUCCGGAAUUAUUGGGCGUAAAGAGCUCGUAGGCGGUCUGUCGCGUCGGCUGUGAAAACUCGGGGCUCAACCCCGAGCCUGCAGUCGAUACGGGCAGACUAGAGUGCGGUAGGGGAGACUGGAAUUCCCGGUGUAGCAGUGAAAUGCGUAGAGAUCGGGAGGAACAUCAGUUGCGAAGGCGGCUCUCUGGACCAGUACUGACGCUGAGGCACGAAAGCGUGGGGAGCAAACAGG
rnacentral:rRNA from 1 species